GAUUGCAAAUUAUCCCUCUCUGCAAUCGCGGCUG
rnacentral:ncRNA from 1 species